CCUACGGGAGGCAGCAGUGAGGAAUAUUGGUCAAUGGGCGUAAGCCUGAACCAGCCAAGUCGCGUGAGGGAUGAAGGUUCUAUGGAUCGUAAACCUCUUUUAUAAGGGAAUAAAGUGCGGGACGUGUCCCGUUUUGUAUGUACCUUAUGAAUCAGGAUCGGCUAACUCCGUUCCAGCAGCCGCGGUAAUACGGAGGAUCCGAGCGUUAUCCGGAUUUAUUGGGUUUAAAGGGUGCUUAGGCGGCCUUUUAAGUCAGAGGUGAAAGUCCGUGGCUCAACCAUAGAAUUGACGUUGAAACUGGGAGGCUUGAGUAUGUUUGAGGGAGGCGGAAUGCGUGGUGUAGCGGUGAAAUGCUUAGAUAUCACGAAGAACACCGAUGGCGAAGGCAGCCUGCCAAGCCAUGACUGACGCUGAUGUACGAAAGCGUGGGGAGCAAACAGGAUUAGAUACCCGAGUAGUC
rnacentral:rRNA from 1 species